UUAGGAGAGGAAGAAAAGUAGGAGAUUAAAGAAGCCAAAAUUCUCAACCAUUUUGUCACUCUAUUACUAAAUUAUGUUGAAGAAGCGACUGAGGCUGAAAUUGGAGCUGCUGCCAAUAUCGAACCUUGGAUGACUUAGAGUCAAUAUUUUGUCAGAAUAAAAUCCUGUUAUCCCUUGUAUUAGGAUUAAACUAUGUUGUGACGUUGUGUGUGAACUUGUAGUUUUAUUCUGUCGU